UACGAAGGGGGCUAGCGUUGCUCGGAUUGACUGGGCGUAAAGGGCGCGUGGGCGGUUUGCAUAGUCAGACGUGAAAUUCCUGGGCUUAACCUGGGGGCUGCGUUUGAUACAUGCAGGCUUGAGUUCGGAAGAGGGUCGUGGAAUUCCCAGUGUAGAGGUGAAAUUCGUAGAUAUUCGGAAGAACACCAGUGGCGAAGGCGACUUACUGGACACAUAUUGACGCUGAGGUGCGAAAGCGUGGGGAGCAAACAGG
rnacentral:rRNA from 1 species